AUCAAUUGUUGUUACUUUUGUAAUGUGAUUAUUCAAGGCUUUACCAAGUGCAACACAACUUAUUAAUGAAAAGGCACUGAGUGAUUCUCUUGCAGAAGGGAAAAAUGUAAAAUAAAAAUCCACAAUGGAAGAAACACCCAAACUGGAUACCAAGAUCCAAAUAAACCCAGCGGCGGAGGCAGAGCCCACAUUUCCCUCGGAUUUCACUGACUCUCUUCAAGACCACAAAACGUUGUUCUUCAAAUCCUACUCUCGCCGAAGAAGAAGCGAAUCAUGGGUCAUUUCCAUCUUGACUAACUUCCACCUGAUAGCCUUCUUCGUCAACAUGGUUGUCAAUGAUUGUUGGACUAACUCUCAUGGUGGUGGCACUGUCAAAGCCCUCAAAAAGACGUCGUUCCAUCCCCUCUCUGAGAACCCCGUGCUCGGUCCCUCUGCUUCCACAUUAGUGUUUGUCUCUUGCCUUUUGUGCUUCUUAAUUGAAUGUUGAUCUGAUUGGCUCGGAUAUAUGCAUGAAUCUGCAUGGGUAUUAGAAAAUGAGAAAUUGAUUCUUGGUUUCAAGUUAUUUCUUUCUUUGAAAAAAACAAACUCUGCUCGAUUUAUGGGAUAAUUUGAGGAAAAGCAAAGGCAAGUACGUUGUUGUUUAUUGUAUACUAACGUUUCAUCAGUGAUAUCUGCAGUUUCGUUGCUGAGAAAAUGAUAUGAAGAAGAGUGGUUUUUGUCAUGUGUGGACUAUGUUCGGUGCCUUAUAUUUUAACAUCAAUGUUGUUGAUUCUCGUUUGAUAAUUGAGAAGUCAAGUUUAGUUUUGCUUCCGCUUUGUUUAUGUGAAUGCAUCUGAAUUCUUCUUGCGUUGCUAUAUGGGAAAAUUCCAUUGCAGAGAGAUUGAUUAAGUGCGUUUGAAUUCUUGGCCUAGUUUUGUAAUGUUUGUUGAACGAUGGGACCUGUUUGUUAGAAGCUUUUGACUCCGGAGAAAAAUUUUCAUAGUUUCAAUUACCAGUGAAAAUAUCUCAUCAGAAUGAAUGGUUGAUUUGUUCCCAUGUAGUUGAAAUUAAACAUGAUAAGAUUGCUUGCAUAGUGCCGUAUAUAGUAAACUAGGACUGAUUCAGAGACUUCUAACCCAUAUCUUUAGAACGUGUCUUCAACAUCAUUUGUUAAAGUACCCAGAAGAUGCAAUACCGUAUCAAUGUGUGGUUUUCUACAAUGCUGAAAUCCUCCUCUAUUUCAGGGUAAGAAAAAUGGGAUUUUUUUUUCCUUAAUUUAUUGGAUCUAUAUUUUCAGAUAAUAAUAUAUCCAUAUUGAUGAAAAAUUAAAGUUGUUAUAAUAAUUUUUCCCUACUAAGAAAAUUAAAGUGCAAGAGAAACACACUAUCCACUGCACUUGCUUUGGCUGCUGGCUGGCUCAAAUUUUCUGUAAGAUAAGUAAGGCUGCUGCUUUCCAGCCUGCCAUUCAUUGUUCUUUUGAAUUAUCAUUUAGUUUCAUUUAUAAAUUUUCUUUAUAUUUUCUAUUUUUUUUUUAUUAUAAAAUACAAUAACAAAUAGAUCCACAUUCUGCAUUUGCAUUAAUUAUUAAUUUUCUUUUUUAGAUUAAGCUGGAGGAUCCACCUUCUGCUUUUUUUAUUAACAAUUGAUGGAAAAACUCGAGUUUUGCCCUGGAGGAUGAUAUGAAGCAUCAAUUAUUGACAUUUGCAGUUGAUUAUGCAUCUGUUCCAAGGAGAAGCCACUGAACAAUAUGUGAAAACAGGUAAGAAGGUUUGUGAUAGAAGGACCUGGCAGAACCAUCUUAGCUAUGGGAGAUGUUGGAAUGAUUAUAAUAGCUGAUAUCGCCAUUUUCAUCAGUAGGUUGGAAGGUAUGCAGGCACAUUUGGUAGCUAGGAAUUGUACUGCCAUUUAUCCACUUGGCCCAGUAAUGUCUGUUCAGCCUUUUUCUUCUUUUCUAUCUUCGUAUGGUUGAAUUCAUCAUUCAAAGUGCAAUCAAAUACCUCAGUAAUCUGUUCUGCAGGUUCAAGUACAAGCAAUUGUCCAUUUCUAGCAGCAUUUCUCAUCUUUUGCUUUCCUAAUCAAAGGCUUGACCAGAGUAAAAAUCAUUUUGAAACAGAGGUCAAGAGAGAUUUAUUAUUUGGGACUUAUGGUCUAAGCUCUAAUUUUUCACAUUGUGGUGUGCCAAUAUUAUUUAUUUAUUGGCCUAACUAAU